rnacentral:lncRNA from 1 species
GGCUUGGUUGUGCACUGAUUUUCCCAUUCGUUCUUAUCACAGAUCAUUCUUGGCUGGUAGCAGUGCUGGCACCAUCUCAGGGACAACCAGUCAUUACAAAUUUCAACAUAACUAGCCAUGCAAAGCAGUGUCUUCCGAUAAAGGUCCAGGGCUGCAUCCCAAAUACCUCCGCCAACAGCUCAGCCAACAGGAUGGAUCACGACCGAAACAGAUGUUCUUGCUCCCCGCGGCUGAAAGUUGGAGUCCCUCCCUGGAGAUGAGGCACUUCGCUUUGACACCAGAAGCACCUUCCUGAUUUCAUCAGAUGAGAUGCUUGUUUGGGAGAUGACCCCAAUGUCUUGCUUAAGCAAACAAAUAAAAUGUUUGAAUUUAGUGAGGGCAUGAACCUGAUAUGUUAAGCGUAGAGUUAGGAAAAUUAUAUUAUAUAGAAAAUAGCACAUGAUUUCCCUGGUGAGCCAGCAACCUCCCAAAAUGAUUGUGUAAAACAGAGGAUAAAAAGAGCUCAGCAAGAAAUGCUUAUGUUCUCGAGAAGGCAACCAAAUUGGAGAAUGAGGUUUGGUAUAUGGUAUUUCUCAGUAAGAACUGUAAAACUGAAUUAAAGCCUCAAAGCAAUGAUACAACUCUUCCUAAAAUAUGUGGUCCAUAUAUUUCUUCUGUGUGAUUCUUUAGAACUGAACUGAACACCUUUGGAACUGAAAGGUUGUACUUACUCUUCCAGGUUAUUUCAGACAAUGAGGGUGUUCUUUCAAAAUUAACGUGCUUCUCAAAACUUAACAGGCGCAUGAGUCACCUGGAGAUCUUGUUAAAAUGUAGGUUCUAAUUCAGCAGGUCCUAGGUAAGGCCCCAGAUUCGGCAUGUGUAACAAGCUCCAAGGUUUACACUAUUCUUAAAGCAGUGCAGUCAUUUCAAAGUGUGGUCGUUGGAUCACCUGUAUGAGAAUCUUGUAGGUGAUCUGUUGAAAAACACAGAUUCCUGAGCUCCACCACAGACUUACAAAAUCCAGUGUUUACAGUGAUUGCCCAGGAAUCUGUAUUUAACACACUUACCAGAUGAUUCUUAUUAAAGCUUGAGAACUGACACCGUCUAUGGAUAAAUGGUUAAUUUGGGAUAACUAGGAAACUUGUAAGAGAUGCCAUGAGAUUGUUGCACACAAUGAAGAAGGUUUGGGCUGUGCUCAGUGGGUUCUUGUGCUUCUACAGUAAGGGAAACUGCUAAGCAGUUAAGCGGCUGGGGCAUAAAUAGCAGGUGCCAGCAAGUCAGGCAGUCCAGGUGACAGGGAAGGAGCUUACAGGAGCAUUAAUGAUGAUAGAAU